rnacentral:rRNA from 1 species
UACGUAGGGUGCGAGCGUUAAUCGGAAUUACUGGGCGUAAAGCGUGCGCAGGCGGUUCGUUGUGUCGGUGGUGAAAGCCCCGGGCUUAACCUGGGAAUGGCCAUGGAAACUGGCGAACUGGAGUGUGGCAGAGGGGGGUGGAAUUCCGCGUGUAGCAGUGAAAUGCGUAGAGAUGCGGAGGAACACCGAUGGCGAAGGCAGCCCCCUGGACUAGCACUGACGCUCAGGCACGAAAGCGUGGGGAGCAAACAGG